GAGUUUGAUUAUGGCUCAGAUUGAACGCUGGCGGCAUGCUUUACACAUGCAAGUCGAACGGCAGCGGGGAAGUGCUUGCACUUCUGCCGGCGAGUGGCGAACGGGUGAGUAAUGCAUUGGAACGUACCGGGUAAUGGGGGAUAACUUGCCGAAAGGUAAGCUAAUACCGCAUACGCUCUUAGGAGGAAAGCGGGGGAUCGUUUGACCUCGCGUUAUCCGAGCGGCCAAUGUCUGAUUAGCUAGUUGGUGGGGUAAAAGCCUACCAAGGCAACGAUCAGUAGCGGGUCUGAGAGGAUGAUCCGCCACACUGGGACUGAGACACAGCCCAGACUCCUACGGGAGGCAGCAGUGGGGAAUUUUGGACAAUGGGCGCAAGCCUGAUCCAGCCAUGCCGCGUGUCUGAAGAAGGCCUUCGGGUUGUAAAGGACUUUUGUACGGGAAGAAAAAGUUGUGGCUAAUACCCAUGACUGA
rnacentral:rRNA from 1 species